AAUCAGUAUCGCGUAUAGAUUAGACAGUUUCCUGUUCGAUCGCCGGCGAAGAGAGAAGAAGGUCAAAGGUGUUCUCGUUCGAUGGGAACGUUCGAUGGGAAGAAACGGCGAUAAAAGAGCACGGGUUUCCGUCGAGAGUCGGUGUCCACGGGCAAGGUGGACGAAUGGAGGAGACACCGCGCUCGUUCGCCUCGAACGUGGCGUAUUUCCAUGUAAAUGUAUGCGGCCUUGACAUCCCAGCCAGGCUGGCCGACCGACCGGAAAACAAUAACAACGUUAAACAGAAAGAAAUAUGGAGCAAGAUAAUCCCGAUCAUUCACCGUGAGAAUAGGCCGAUUUCUUCUAGAUCGUUUCGACACACGGCCAGCGGCGAUUCUCUUCCAAUCCGUUUAACCGCUCGCUACUUUCGACAAUUGUUUCCUUCGAUUCGGUUUCAAUUUCGAUCCGACUAUAGGAGAGAGAGAGAGAGAGAGAGAGAGAAGAGGUCGGGAUCUACCUGCAGAUUAUGGCCGACUGUACUCAUGGUCAACCAGAAACUGCUGCGUUCUCUUCUACUUUCGCGCUGCUGGUGUCUCGCCGUCGUUGUCUCUUCUCGGUUUCGCUGCUGCCUUUGGUAAGCGUUUCAAAGAAAUAAAAGGAAAAAAAGGAAGAAAAGAAGGAGAAGAAAAAGAGGAGGACAGAUGGAACGUGCAAAGGUGAAACGCAACGAGGUGGGGACAGAGAAGGAACAGACGGUACCGAAAUACCAAAGACCACGAAACGACUCGUCGACCUCGCUCCUCUCCAUUCGACUCCAUCGAAGCAUCCAUCGAGAUGACGAUCGUCUCUGUAUAUCUUGAUUUAUGCCACGAUUACGAAACGCGGUCAUGCGAGAAUCAUCGGAAGAAUUUUUGAAAAUCCAUUGCUGCGAUUAAAGAGUAACAUUUUCCUUCUCGUUUUCGUAGGAAGCUCUCUAAAUAAGACAUUAGUUUCGAUUUAUCGUAACUGUAAUAAUAACAAGUACGUAAAAGGAUCACAAGGAUUUAAAACGAAGCCAAUAGAUUGACGUAAAUUGAACCUAAGGUUGGCCAACAACCAUGAAUUUGACUGUA